rnacentral:lncRNA from 1 species
UUUCUUGGUAAUGAUUCUAAUGUUCAUGAGAAUAUGAUGCUGCCUAAAUUGGAUACAUUUGUUUUGCUUACAAAUGAAGGGCCUAGCUUUGAGAAGGAUGAACAUUGGAGCAAGAACAGGCAUGGAGAUGAUGGCAUGCGCAUGGGGAACAAGAACGGAGUUACAAGUGAUGAUUUCAGGACGUUGAAGCCACCAUAAUGCGUGCAUGAAGCCUUGGACGAAAUAUACAAGAUGCUACUUCAUAACUUUCGUCCAGAGGCUAUUCUAGGUGCUGCGUCACCUUAUUAUUGGGCCAGGCCCAUGUAAUUUCGAAAUACAUAAGUAUAGGCUGUUUUUAGAGUCCGUAUGUGUGGGGAAACAAGAGAUAGGGUUGGUUUCGGACCCCUUCCUCAAGGGCCACGAAGUUCCCCCCCCCCCUCUUCCUCCAUAUAUACAGCCCUUAGGGCGUCGUUUAGACUUUGGGUUUUGUUUAGAUUAAAAGUUCGCCAUAGCUGCAACUUCGCGUACUUCGUUUGUGUUCAGCGACCAGACAAAGGCGUCACAGAACCCCACCUUGAUCAAUAAAGCUUUCAUCUUAUAUUCGCAAUAUCCAGAUUGCAAUCUCAGUUUCUUGCCUGUUCUUCGUUUGCUCGCAGGAAACAGACCCUCGUGGUCAGGUUGAUCGUGCUCCGGCGUGGUCGAUAACCUCUCGGAGUUGGUUUAGCGAUUGCUAAGGCGCGACGUCCUCGCACGUUCGUAGUCGGAUCGUCAAAGUCGACUUCCAUCAAAACGAUAUUCAUCAUCUCAUCGAAAGACGGGACACCUUUGCCUCUAUCAAGUGGUAUCAGAUUUCCAGGUUGCUCGGUGAGAUUUUACAGUUUUUCGUAGUUUAGAUCGAGUCUGUUCUUCAUACCUACAGUCCACGAAAAAGCCACAAAAAAAAAUUAGGGUUAGUUCAUCAUAUCCGAACCAAUCUGAGCCUUUGCAUAAUCUUUUUAGGGUUUUUGCUUUGUUGAAUUUGCGGUUGCAUCGUCGUGUCAAGUUGCUGGUCUUAGAGUCUAGUCUUUUAGAGUUUCGAGUUCUGGUCAUAAGUUGUCACGCCGCCGCCGCACCAUCAUCAUCGCCUUGCCAUCUACCACCAUUGCUUAUCCGCCACCGCUUUGAAUCCGUAUCCAUAUACCACCACCGCUGCCAUAUACUACCGCCAUAUAUCCACCACCAAUCCGAGUUCUUUUCAUAGUCGGUUUGUUUUAGAGAUCCAUAUAUUUUCCGUUUCGUGUUUCCUUGCCUGAGUAGGUCUCGAAAAAAUGUAUAACAAAUUCUUUGGGCCAUAAAUAAUGUUGCCAUGUUUCUAAAGUCCGAACAAGAGCAUAUAGUUCUUUAUCAUAAGUAGAAUAAUUCAGACUAGGCCCACUCAAUUUUUCAGAAAAGUAUGCAAUAGGUUUGCCAUCUUGUAAUAACACACCUCCUAAUCCAAUUCCACUAGCAUCACAUUCAAGCUCAAAAGUCUUAUUAAAAUCAGGAAGUUGGAGUAAAGGAGCAUGUGUCAACUUAUCUUUCAAUACCGUGAAGGCUUCUUCCUGUGCGGUACCCCAAACAAAAGGCACAUCCUUCUUUGUAAGCUCGUUGAGAGGUGCAGCAAUGGUGCUAAAAUCUCUCACAAAACGCCUAUAGAAACCAGCGAGUCCAAGAAAACUCCGCACUUGUGUGACUGUUUUGGGCUGCGGCCAACUCUCAAUAGCUUCAAUCUUGGCUUUAUCAACUUCCAUUCCCUGUGGAGUAACAACAUAGCCAAGAAAAGAUACUCGGUCAGUGCAAAAGGUGCACUUCCCAAGGUUACCAAACAAACGUGCAUCACGUAGAGCAAUAAAAACAGCACGUAAAUGUUCCAAAUGUUCUUCCAAAGAUUUGCUAUAAAUCAGUAUAUCAUCAAAAUAGACUACCACAAAUCGUCCAAUGAAAGCACGUAAAACUUCGUUCAUUAGUCUCAUGAAAGUACUAGGUGCAUUAGUUAACCCAAAAGGCAUGACUAACCACUCAUAUAAACCAAACUUAGUUUUAAAUGCAGUUUUCCAUUCAUCUCCCAAUUUCAUACGAAUUUGAUGGUAUCCACUACGCAAAUCAACUUUGAAGAAUAUUGUAGAGCCACUCAAUUCAUCAAGCAUAUCAUCUAGCCGAGGAAUAGGAUGACGAUAACGAAUAGUAAUUGAUGAGGACAUCAAUACAAUUAUUACACCCACAGUCCCUGCUGCUAUACAUACUGGACCAAUUACUAGAGCUCGCGCACGCCAAUUAAAUUACCAGGUACUUUCGUUUCUUGCUAAUGAUUCUAAUGUUCAUGAGAAUAUGAUGCUGCCUAAAUUGGAUACAUUUGUUUUGCUUACAAAUGAAGGGCCUAGCUUUGAGAAGGAUGAACAUUGGAGCAAGAACAAGCAUGGAGAUGAUGGCAUGCGCAUGGGGAACAAGAACGGAGUUACAAGUGAUGAUUUCAGGACGUUGAAGCCACCAUAAUGCGUGCAUGAAGCCUUGGAUGAAAUAUACAAGAUGCUACUUCAUAACUUUCGUCCAGAGGCUAUUCUAGGUGCUGCGUCACCUUAUUAUUGGGCCAGGCCCAUGUAAUUUCGAAAUACUUGAGUAUAGGCUGUUUUUAGAGUCCGUAUGUGUGGGGAAACAAGAGAUAGGGUUGGUUUCG